rnacentral:lncRNA from 11 species
GUGUGUACAAACACAAAAGGCAUGCCGCGCGCCCAGGAGGAAGGAGGCUUUUUCCCUUUCCUAACUGAAAUUUGGGACAGUCCAUUAUUCCUCCGGGGGGAGCGAGAGAGAAGAGUGGUUCGAACCCUUGGGCAACGGUUCGUCGCGUGCUGCCUAAACGGUCGCCAAACCUCUCCCCCUCAACGGUCGCCAACCGUCCGUCCGCCCGUCUCCAGGAAGCGAAGCGGCGUCGUGGAAGAAAGGUUGGGAAAUGGCGUUCCUCGUGAGGGACCCGUUGGGCACCGGGGUGCGGCUGGUGCCACUGCCCGUUCAAGACCGGUCGGUCCGGGGUUUGCUUCGUGCCCGUUGCCAGGCGCAGGUAAGCGGGUUUGUAUGUGGGAAGGGAAUGCUUUGCCUUAGGGCAGGCAGGGGCAAAUUUGGGCCCACGGGGUGUUUUGGACUCCCAAUUCCCACCAUUCCUAACCGCCUCAGGUCCUUUCCUUUCCCCCCCUCAGCCGCUAAGCCCUGCCUGCGUUAGCUCCAUUCAGUGGAAUCACGGGAGUUGUAGUUUGGUGAAGCAUCUUUAGCAGAGAAAGCUGAAGACCUUGUAAAACUACAACUUCCAUGACUCCAUAGCGCUGAGUCAGGGCCUUUAAAGUUUGGUCAAGCUACAUUAAUUCAAUAGGGUAGAUCAGGCAUGGGCAAACUUGGCCCCUCCAGGUACCGGCUGUUAGGAAUUGUAAUAGUUGUAAUCCAAAACACCUGGAGGGCACAAGUUUGCCCAUGCCUGGUGUAGAUGCAACCUUGGUAAAAUCAGUUGCGUGAAUGAUGUGCUAAGUGUUUUCACAAGGCAUUUUCCCAAGAUCAUUAAUUUAACUAACAAUCUGGAAUUGAUAUUGGUAUGGUGCUAACAGCUCAGGGAGAUGUAUCUCUCUCUAUAUAUAUAUAUAGAGAGAGAGAGGGAGGGAGGGAGGAGUCUGGAGCGCUGUUACCUUCCCACCAGAGCAGUACUUAUUGAUCUACUCGCAUUUGCAUGUUUUCAAACUGCUAGGUUGGCAGGAGCUGGGGCUAACUCCGGGAGCUCACCCUGCUCCUCGGAUUCGAACCACUGUCCUUUCGAUCACCAAAUUCAGUAGCUAAGUGGUUUAACCUGCUGCGGCACUGAGGGCUUCUACACAAACACAUGCACACAAACACACACAUAUUCACAUGCGUUUGUGUAUGCACUUGUAUGUUCCAUCAAGUGGCCUCUUGACUUAGGACUACUACAUGCAUUUCAUAUGAUUUUCUUAGGCAAAGAAUACCGAGAUAAUUUCACCAUUUCCUUCCCCCGAUUUGUAGCCUACAGCACCUAGAAUUCCUGGUGAUUUCUUAUCCAAGAAUUAACCAGGGCUGAUUUGAUCAACUUCCAAGAUUCAGAGCCCUUCAGGAAAGCAAAGGGAUCCCUUCUGUAACUUGUUAUUUACAGUUAGUGGACAUUCAAGGCUGUUAAUAGGAGCUGAUUGAACAGUUAUUUAUCCGCGUAUUUCCAGCAAAAAGUGGUUAAAUCAUCUAUAUAUAUAAAAGAGUGAUGGCAUCAUGGCGACCCACAAAACA